rnacentral:rRNA from 1 species
UUAAAUUGAAGAGUUUGAUCAUGGCUCAGAUUGAACGCUGGCGGCAGGCCUAACACAUGCAAGUCGAACGGUAACAGGAAGAAGCUUGCUUCUUUGCUGACGAGUGGCGGACGGGUGAGUAAUGUCUGGGAAACUGCCUGAUGGAGGGGGAUAACUACUGGAAACGGUAGCUAAUACCGCAUAACGUCGCAAGACCAAAGAGGGGGACCUUCGGGCCUCUUGCCAUCGGAUGUGCCCAGAUGGGAUUAGCUAGUAGGUGGGGUAACGGCUCACCUAGGCGACGAUCCCUAGCUGGUCUGAGAGGAUGACCAGCCACACUGGAACUGAGACACGGUCCAGACUCCUACGGGAGGCAGCAGUGGGGAAUAUUGCACAAUGGGCGCAAGCCUGAUGCAGCCAUGCCGCGUGUAUGAAGAAGGCCUUCGGGUUGUAAAGUACUUUCAGCGGGGAGGAAGGGAGUAAAGUUAAUACCUUUGCUCAUUGACGUUACCCGCAGAAGAAGCACCGGCUAACUCCGUGCCAGCAGCCGCGGUAAUACGGAGGG